rnacentral:tRNA from 1 species
GGUUCCGUAGUGUAGUGGUUAUCACGUUCCGCUUCCACACGCGAAAGGUCUCCGGUUCGAUCCCGACAGAACCA